CCAUCCCAUCGUGACUUCAGCAUCCUCCUCUGCCUUGAUUGCUGCAGUCUGAAUGCUUGUGUCUCCUUGAAUUCCUACCUAGAAAGAUCGUAGCUCUCAGCUAGUGCUCCAGCGCAAGGUGCACUGAUCUCCCCACCAUGAUGAGAGUGGGCUAAACCUCUAAAACUGUAAGCCAGCCCCCAACUAAACACUUUUAUAAGA